rnacentral:rRNA from 1 species
UACGUAGGGUGCGAGCGUUAAUCGGAAUUACUGGGCGUAAAGCGUGCGCAGGCGGUGAGCUGUGUCCGAUGUGAAAGCCCCGGGCUUAACUUGGGAAUUGCGCUCGAAACUACGGAGCUGGAGUGUGGCAGAGGAAGGUGGAAUUCCACGUGUAGCGGUGAAAUGCGUAGAGAUGUGGAGGAACACCGAUGGCGAAGGCAGCCUUCUGGGCCAACACUGACGCUCAUGCACGAAAGCGUGGGGAGCAAACAGG